CGUGCUCAUUUGGAUUAAACAAUUAUCAAAUAUGUCAGAUCAAUGUAUGACAUGUAUAUGAUAGUAGACAACAACUUUUCAAUAUAAGUAGGCUUUACACGUCCGGAUGUUUUUACAUCUCCAUGAACGUGGAAUGAAACAGCAACAGCAAAUUGGUCGAAUUAACACAUCAUCAAUACAUCUAUCACAUAUAUAUAAUCGUUGUACAGUUCAUCACGGGAACCUUUCAUAUAUGCAAGUAAACCAGUGAUGUAUCAACUUCAGAAAAGAGUCAACUCGACAUAACACCAGAAAAAAAAUAUAUGUGUUAAUGUUUCACUUAAGAUUGACUUGUCAUAUCUACACGUACAUCCUUUUAAUAUUUUGGACAUUGAUAAUUGCAGUUGGAGAACAAAGGUUAGAGUGACUGACUUGAUU
rnacentral:lncRNA from 1 species